rnacentral:tRNA from 1 species
GGAGAGAUGUCUGAGCGGUUGAAAGUGCCGGUCUUGAAAACCGGUGUUGCGCAAGCAACCGUGGGUUCGAAUCCCACUCUCUCCGCCA